rnacentral:tRNA from 1 species
CCAAAAAUAGGUUAAACAUAAACCAAAGGGCUGUGGUCCCUUAAAUCUUACUCAUAAGUUUUUGGU